GCCAGGUGUAGUGGCAUGCACCUGUAGUCCCAGCUACUCAGGAGGCUGAGGUGGGAGGAUCACUUGAGCCUGGGAGGUUGGGGUUACAGUGAGCCAAGAUUGUGCCACUGUACUCCAGCCUGGGCUAUAGAGCAAGACCCUGUCUCAU
rnacentral:SRP_RNA from 2 species